GUUGAUCCUGGCUCAGAUUGAACGCUGGCGGCGUGCUUAACACAUGCAAGUCGUGCGAGAAAGGGGACUUCGGUCCCUGAGUAGAGCGGCGCACGGGUGAGUAACGCGUGGAUAAUCUCCCCAGAAGUUCGGGAUAACGGCGGGAAACUGCCGCUAAUACCGGAUACGCUCCAAUUUCGGUUGGGGGAAAGGCGGCCUCUGUUUACAAGCUGUCGCUUCUGGAUGAGUCCGCGUCCCAUUAGCUUGUUGGUGGGGUAAUGGCCUACCAAGGCUACGAUGGGUAGCUGGUCUGAGAGGAUGAUCAGCCACACUGGAACUGAAACACGGUCCAGACUCCUACGGGAGGCAGCAGUGGGGAAUAUUGCGCAAUGGGGGAAACCCUGACGCAGCGACGCCGUGUGAGGGAUGAAGGCUUUCGGGU
rnacentral:rRNA from 1 species